CGAAAGCCAAAAGAAUAAUAAUAAAAAAAAUAUCGAUAAUAAUAUUUUCUUCUACUUAACCUCAUCAGACAGAGAGAGAGAGACCAGUUCGCUCCUCCGGUGAUAGGUUUUUAUUCUGCUGCUCCUUUCCGUGUGUGACUGUUUGUUUGUAUUCACUCAAAAACAAUUUUUCCAAAUGGGAGACUCAGAAAACGCUCAGCCACCUUCAAAAAAGAGAGGUGCUUUGAAGCAGAUAUCUCGUGAGAAUCCAGAUGAUGAUGAUGAUGUUUCAGCUGGAUUGGAGAGUGGGACUUUCAAGAAAGCCAGUGAUGAGGUUUUGGCUAGUAGGAGAAUCGUCAGAGUCAAGCGCAAAGAGCCUUCCUCUGCUCCACCACCUGCUGCAGCAACAACCAAUCCCUUUGCUGGAAUUCAAUUGCUCCCUACUGCACCUGCUUCAACUGCUUUUGGAACAACUCCACCUCUGGCUGAGUCUAAGUUGGCUCCUGCUGAAGCCGUAGUUGAAGACAAUCAAAAGGAAACUGAUGCAGAUGAGGACGGUGAUGAAGUUGAGAGUAAGAAGAAGGUUGAUGAUGUCAAAGACUCUGCUCAGGAAGUGACUAAAGAUGAUAAUGAGCGUGGAAAGACAUCUGAUGACCAGACUACUCAUGAUGAUGUUAAAGAAUCUGCUGAGGAAGCGACAAAAGAUGAUAAUGAGCGUGGAAAGACAUCUGAUGAUGAUGUAGACAAGACUGUCCAAGGAACAGACCAAACUGAGGAUCUUGUUCAGAAGGAAUCAGUUGGUGAUCAGACUGAGGGAAAAGAAAAAGAAGGUGAUGAAGCAGAGAAGAACGGUGAUAAGAAUGGCUCAAUGACUUCGUUCCAACAGCACUCAAGUAGCAAAAACGCAUUCACAGGGCUCGCCACUACAGAGUCUUCUGCUCCUAAGUUCUCGUUUGGUGAUGGUUCUGGAUCUCCCUUUGGUUUAGGCCUUUCAACCACCAACACCCCUUCUCUUUUCGGUGCAUCCAUCAUCAAGAAGAGUGAAGGUAGCGGGUUUCCUUCAAAAGAAGAGGUUUCAACAGAAACAGGAGAAGAGAACGAGAAUGCUGCCUUCUCAGCUGAUUCCAUCAUGUUUGAGUAUCAAGACGGAGGAUGGAGAGAGCGCGGUAAAGGAGAAGUCAAGGUAAACGUCUCAAGUAACGGUGGUAAAGCGAGGCUAGUCAUGAGAGCUAAAGGGAACUACAGGUUGAUCUUAAACGCGAGUCUCUACCCGGAGAUGAAACUUGCGAGCAUGGACAAGAAAGGAAUCACAUUCGCUUGUGUGAAUAGUGAAGGCAAAGAUGGUCUCUCUACAUUUGCGCUCAAGUUCAAAGACCCAACGAUCGUGGAAGAGUUUCGUGUAGCUGUUGACAAACAUAAGGGUAGUAAACCAAUUGAAACAGCUCCUCCUUUGAAGACACCUGAGAACUCUCCUACCGCUACAGAUGCUUGAAGAAAGGUCGUUCUUAAGAGAGAGAUUUUAACAACUUCGCCGGAUUAGACAGAAACAGACCAACUGACGACACUGUGCUAAAUAAAUGUCGGUUCGGAUAUUUUUAAUCUAAAAACUCUCUGAAAUACUCAGAAUAGAUGUUGCUCGAAAAAUAGAUUGUUCCUUUGUUCUCCCGGAUCUUGCUGCUUCGGACUUUCAAUUGUUUGGGCCAUUCACCAUAGGAAGUUUCUUUUCUCGAUGGGUUGAUCAAGAUCGUCUCCAUCGUCUCUCCAAGGUUCUCUUUCUAUGUCUACAUGCAAUUGUUCUAUCUCCAUUCUGGAUCUGUUUUAUUUGUUCAUGAUGUCUUAGUUGUAAGCUUGUGUUGUAUUUGUCUUUCGGUUAGUAUUAUGUGUUCAUAUUAUGUGUUCAUAUUAUCUUCCGGGGAUGUUUGUCUACUCCGCCGGACUGUUUUUCCGGGUUUACUUGUAAUCGCCGGACUGGUUAUGUUCUCAUGUACAAGUUCUUGAUGUAAUCUUCAGAAUCAAUAUAAUCAAUCA